UCCUUUUAUUCCCUGCCGGUACAGAGGCUUGGGAUCCUGGGCAGGAGUGUAGCGCAGGGGUGACUUUAUUUUAUUAAAAAUACCGUAAACUUAAUGUAUUGAGCCAAUAAACAGGCCUGUAUGCGCAGAGCAGCAACUCAGCCAGUACUAACUUAUUAACUAAGCAGUGGUUAAUUACUAACCUCUGUGUGUUACUUUCACUUCUGGGAUACGAAUCUUAUAAUUAACAUGGUAUAGGAAAAAGAGCAUUACUGGCCAAAGCAAAUGAACAUUAGAACUGGUUGGGGCAAGAGAACAGCCCUGUGUUUAUAAUAAAUACCCCCCUGCACAUAAGACCCAGUGCCAUAAGUGGAUGAACCUGCAGGGUGCUUGGGCAGUUUUCAGUUUAUAUGCCAAUUUUAAGAUUUUUAAGAGAUCUUUUUGUUGGGCCAAGCUUAACCUGAAAUGAUUGUUUAAAAGUAUGGUUUGUACAUGAACAAAAAUGACCAUUUCAAGCGAUAUCAUCUAGUUGCAGCUAGGAAAACUGCCUGCAAACAGUUGGCCAAAGCGCAAAUUGUGAAAUGAAAAAUUGCUAUAUGUGCAAUUGUCCGGUGCCCACUAACCUUACGAUGAUUUGAUGGAUUUGUCGGAUCGCACUUAAAUUGGAGAAAAGAUUCUUAACGUGUAUGGGCAUCUUAAGUACUGUACAAUAGUGCCCUGCUGAGACGCCUGAUUGCCCCCCCAGAGGCAACUUUGUAGCUUCAAAAACAGCUUCGGACUGGGCCGCCGGGGUACCGGGAAAAAACCCGGUGGGCCCCCUUCCCAGACUUGAACCCCCAAGGCGCUCCCACGAUCUGCUGGUCUCCCUUCCCUGAAGUGCCACAGCUGAGACCAACUGCAAUGUAAUUGGAUGUCAGGAUAGCAGUGCACUUUGUUGACUGGGAAAAGAGCAUAUUGAGCAGUUAAGAGUUCACUCCUCAUAACAUUUCCAACGAUUUGAGAUUUCGCUCCUGAGGAAUGGGAAAAGCAAGUACAAUGCCAAGAGGAUGUGACAUGGAGACAAAAACAGAGGGCAAAUGUCUGGCUGAUGAAUUGGAGAUGUGCAAUAAAGCAGGAGGUUGUAAAGCAAAGCUGGAGACAGAAAGAUAAAGAUGAUCCAGGGUGGGGUGGGGGAGAAGCCUAAUGUAUUGCUCCCUACACUUUGCAAUGGGGUUUUUCAUCUCACGCCAUACAAACAACACAUUAGCAGGAACCUUGACAGGGGCAUGUUCUUUAGCAGGAAUGGCCAGCACAUUCCAAGGGGGGGGGGGGUGUUGGGGCUUAGGAAGAUUUAGAUCUCUGCCAUUCUACAAAAUGGUGCAAUGAAAAUGACACCAGAGACUGAAGUUUUGGCACUACUGAAUGCUUUUUAGCACCAUUUGUUCCCUUGUGUUUCCUGCCCAUAAAGCUAAACUAUUUUCUAUGUAGGUAUGAUUAAUUAAAAUGUCAAUAGGAGGUGUACUGUAUAUACAAAAUUUUGUGGACGUGCUAAAAAUCUUUUCAGCUGUUAUAGACCGGUCCCAAUAUGUUGUUUUCCCAUCUCUGCAAAUAUCCCACAAGCCAUUUCAUGUUAUGACAACUUGUUGUUUUAGUCUUUAUGCUCAUUUACACCUAUAGCGUCGGCCACAAGCAUAAUGAAUUUGCUUGUCAUGAGGGACAUAAGGCAGAUUAGGGCAAAGCAAACAAUGUUAUUUUUAUUUUAAUUCAUUACAAGAAAAUGCACACAACCAAAAUAAAGCAGGGAUUUUUUCAA